UACAUCUCUUUUACUGUCCAUAACAUACUGUAACUUAGCUUUGGAGCUUUGGGGUGCUCCCUUUCAAGGUCUCAAGUUCGCUGGGUGCAAACAAUUUCUGAGGGCCAUCGGACUGGGUGAAAACCCUGAAUUACCCGUGGUGCACUUGCGGGAAACUCCUUGCUGAGGGCCUGUGCACCCCCGGGAUUAGUCGGGACUCGAAGAGUCUCGGAUACCCGGUGCAAGUCAAAAAAAUAACAUACUGUAACUUACAUGAAUUCCUCUAAAAAUAUGCAUGUCUAAUCUGGUAGUAUUCUGAAUUUGGCUGAUCAUGAAUGAAUGUGAAUGCAUACAUGCAGAUGGGUAUUGGGCCAUUUAAUUUUGCAGGGCAGCCACCAGGGAAGCAUGAGUUCGCUCACAUGUAACAAAUAAGAAGGAAGUUUCCGUUGAAAAAAUAACAGAUUGAAUAAACAGACAUAAAAGGGAAAUAAGAUCACAGAUUGAAUUGACCGACAUAUAUAAGGGAAUUACGUGAAUUCAGAUUUUUAUAAACCUCAACAAAAAAGAGACAUGUCAACAAUAACUGAUAAGUGUAAUCAAACUGGAUGCAAAAGUUUCCCUGUAAAUGGAAGUUUGACAAUGCAAACCUGAUGUAACUCGUACCAGAUCAAGAUGGACUUCACA
rnacentral:lncRNA from 1 species